AUAAGAAUUUUCUUCCACAAGGCCCAUCUCUGGUAUUGAAUUUUACUCUGAAGAUCUGAGAGGAUUCGCUUCCCGCCGAUUGGUUCGAAUAACUGUUGAACUUAUACGAAGAAUAUCAAGAAGAUUCUUUUCCCUCGAACAACAACUGAGAGGGUCCUAGUGCCUGGGUAACGUUGAGAAUCCUAGUGCCUGGAUAUUUAUGGGAAUCCUAGUGCCUGGUUGGAUUUGAAAUCCUAGUGCCUGGAUAAUUGUUUGGAAUCCUAGUGCCUGGGUAACGUUGAGAAUCCUAGUGCCUGGUUACGUUCUGGAGUCUGGUAUAUGGUAUGGUUUGAGGUUAUGGUACUUAUUUUCUGGUGUAUGGUGGUGAAUUUCUGGUGCAGUUCUGAUAUAUGGUACAGUUCGAGUACAUAGUAUAUUGCUGGCAUAUGGUGUACCUCGAGUAGAUGGUAUAUUCUACAUAUAUAGAUCUCACCGUUAGAUUUGCUGUCAAGUCAACCUUCAAUAUUGAUUUUGUAUCAGGUAACCGGUGCUUGUACUGGCUUUAAGAGUAUUGUAUUGAGAUUUAGUUUCGGAAGUAACGAUUUAUUGUACUGAUAGUAAAUCAGUCAUUUGAAUAGGAGUUAACGGUUAUAUUAUUAAGUUUCUAUCCAUUGAUAGUUAUAUUGAAAUAUAUUGAACAAAGGUUGUUUCAUGCUUAUUAUAGACUGUGGAAAUUGUAAACAGUUGCGGUGAGGUGCACUUCACUAACUGGCCAUUUAUUUUAACAACUAUAAUACUUGUGUAUCCCUUCAGGAUUUGUAACUGGAAUUUAUUAUCACUUUAUUCAACCUGCUAUUUUAUACCAGCCAGUUAUUACAACCACUGUAUUUGUAUAUUCCUUCUGGAUCUGUGGUUUAGGUCAAUCUUCUUGUUAACUUGGUUAUUUGUCUGGUUUCUUGUCUGGUAUAUUUGGAGAUUGUUGAACUUCGUUUAGGUUUAGGUUUGGUAUUGAAGUUUUAGGUUUAACCUGAGCCGAGUGUAGGCUGAUUAAGGAUUCUGUUGUCAGGAUUAGGUUAGGUAUUAUAGGUUAUAGAAAGCCCUUCUGGCAUUCGUUGUUGAUUAUAGUUUAUAGGAAGCCCUUCUGGCAUUUGUUAGUAUUAGGUAGAGUUUUUGGGAAGCCCCUCUGGCUCUUGGUAAUUUAGAGAAUUCUUUUUCAUUAUUUUUUUUUAUUAUCAACCACUGCAUAAAUUUUAAUUUUAUUAAACGUUUGACUUGA